AGNNNGAACCUAGCGGUCGGCGAUUGCGACGAAGUCGUAACGGGGUAACCGUAAAGAACAGGCGGGUGAUGUGCCCUGCGCUCUGGAAUAAACCUGCCGCACUGGUGCUGAUAUGGGAUUUGAGCUCCUGUCGAAUGCACGGGGUUGAAAAGGUUAACUGGAUCCGGAUGGACACGCGCUUUAUCAGAUUUGCUCCAGCUCAAAUGGUCUACCCCCUCUACGACGGCCAUUGUGCCUGGUAUGAAGACCUGGCACUCUGGGACUGAAAGACUUGCCAUACUCCUAACCUUCCUCCGAGUUGACAAUAUUGGUCUCCUGCGAGUCCCCUGAUUUACGCGCUGGCGUGAGGGAUGAGGGUUUUCCUCUUGUGAACCUCUUUCCCAACAUCUAACGACAGAGUGACGACGACUGCCAUGCACCCCCCGUAUACCUACCUGCCAGGGGGCCGUAUCUCUCCUACUUUGCGAGCGUUGUCCGGAAUUACUGAGGUUCUUCGAGGUCGCAGGAAUUUGUCCACGUGCUCCGCCGCUUGUGCGGCUCCACCCCAAUUCUUGUUGAGUAUACGCCUUGACUUGAACUCUGCCAGGGGAGACUGCUUAUUCCUGGUGUAUACGGUGAAAUAUCCAGAGAAAAGGAGGAACACCUAGCGCCCAGCGUUUACUCUGGGGACUAACUGAGGCUGAGGACCUGAUCGCUACGUACGCAUUCGGUCCUCAUACUCUGUUACUGCCCGGAGAAACGCCUUCNCCCUAGGUGGUUCCUCCUGAUCCCUGGGCAUCGCACCGCUACACAAGGAAUACCAGUCCCGCCUGGAGAGCUACGGCCCCGCCCGUAUAACUCGAAAGAAUUGGGGUGGAGCCCCACUUGUCGCGGACCACGCGGAAUAACUCCGAGCAGCUCUUUAAACCUAACAUUGCUUACAAUGCUCGCACCAUACGUAUACUACG
rnacentral:rRNA from 1 species